UGCAGGAUAGCUCAGUCAGUAGAGCAUGAGACCCUUAAUCUCAGGGUCGUGGGUUCAAGCCCCCUCCCCUUGCCCGUUGGGCAA